rnacentral:rRNA from 1 species
UACGUAGGGUGCAAGCGUUAAUCGGAAUUACUGGGCGUAAAGCGUGCGCAGGCGGCUUUGCAAGACAGAUGUGAAAUCCCCGGGCUCAACCUGGGAACUGCAUUUGUGACUGCAUGGCUGGAGUGCGGCAGAGGGGGAUGGAAUUCCGCGUGUAGCAGUGAAAUGCGUAGAUAUGCGGAGGAACACCGAUGGCGAAGGCAAUCCCCUGGGCCUGCACUGACGCUCAUGCACGAAAGCGUGGGGAG